UACAUAGGGGGCAAGCGUUAUCCGGAAUUACUGGGUGUAAAGGGUGCGUAGGCGGUAAUAUAAGUCAGAUGUGAAAACCCAAUGCUUAACGUUGGGAAUGCAUUUGAAACUAUAUAACUAGAGUACAGCAGAGGAGAGUGGAAUUCCUAGUGUAGCGGUGAAAUGCGUAGAUAUUAGGAGGAACACCAGUGGCGAAGGCGACUCUCUGGGCUGAAACUGACGCUGAGGCACGAAAGCGUGGGGAGCAAACAGG
rnacentral:rRNA from 1 species